UACGUAGGGUGCAAGCGUUGUCCGGAAUUAUUGGGCGUAAAGAGCUCGUAGGCGGUCUGUCGCGUCUGCUGUGGAAACUCAGGGCUUAACCCUGAGCUUGCAGUGGGUACGGGCAGACUAGAGUGCGGUAGGGGAGACUGGAAUUCCUGGUGUAGCGGUGAAAUGCGCAGAUAUCAGGAGGAACACCGGUGGCGAAGGCGGGUCUCUGGGCCGACACUGACGCUGAGGCGCGAAAGCCAGGGGAGCGAACGGG
rnacentral:rRNA from 1 species